rnacentral:antisense_RNA from 1 species
GUAUUCAGCAAAUGCACCUGAAUGAUACUGUCCGAUUACACUUAAAUGUUCACACUGAGCAAAUACGGAUUUUUUGCAAGAAUCACAUUCGCCGCAAUAAAAAGCUGGAC